rfam:Thermoplasmatales archaeon SM1-50 WOR1_30_36_1029, whole genome shotgun sequence.
GCGGAUGUGAUCUAGUGGUUAUGAUAUUAGCUUCCCAAGCUAGUCACACGGGUUCGAAUCCCGUUACCCGCA